ACCUGGCUGGCUCAGCUGGCAGAGCAUGAGACUGUUAAUCUCAGGGUCAUGAGUUCAAGCCCCACAUUGGGCA